UGGCAGGUCAGCAUACUGCCGUGAAUACGUUCCCGGGCCUUGUACACACCGCCCGUCACACCAUGAGAGUUGGAAAUACCCGAAGCCCGUGAGCUAACUUAAAGAGGCAGCAGUCGAAGGUAGAGCCAAUGAUUGGGGUGAAGUCGUAACAAGGUAGC
rnacentral:rRNA from 1 species